rnacentral:tRNA from 1 species
GUCAGUUUGGCCGAGUGGUUAUGGCGUGUGACUCAAGCGAUUCGUUUCGAAGAGCUUCUCUAUCACGGAGAUGUAUUCUCAUGGGCUUUGCCCGCAAGGGUUCGAAUCCCUUAGCUGACA